AUCCUUUUCAGGUUUAUAAGUAUGAUGAUUGGGUGUUCACACAUUUGUGUGACAUGUGCCUCCCUUAAAUAUUAUUAUGCACUUGGCACAUUACACAUCUAAAG